UUCUGCUCAUCGGCGCAGGUGGAGCAUCUCGCGGCGUACUACUGCCACUUCUUUCCCUGGACUGUGCGGUGACAAUCACUAAUCGGACGGUAUCCCGAGCGGAAGAGUUGGCUAAAUUGUUUGCGCACACUGGCAGUAUUCAGGCGUUGGGUAUGGACGAACUGGAAGGUCAUGAGUUUGAUCUCAUUAUUAAUGCCACAUCCAGUGGCAUCAGUGGUGAUAUUCCGGCGAUCCCGUCAUCGCUCAUUCAUCCAGGCAUUUAUUGCUAUGACAUGUUCUAUCAGAAAGGAAAAACUCCUUUUUUGGCAUGGUGUGAGCAGCGAGGCUCAAAGCCUACUGCUGAUGGUUUAGGAAUGCUGGUGGCACAGGCGGCUCAUGCCUUCCUUCUUUGGCAUGGCGUUCUGCCUGAUGUAGAACCAGUUAUAAAGCAAUUGCAGGAGGAAUUGUCCGCGUGAAUCAGGCCAUCCAGUUUCCGGACAGAGAAGAGUGGGUCGAGAAUAAAAAAUGUGUAUGUUUUCCCGCUCUCGUGAAUGGCAUGCAACUGACAUGUGCGAUCUCUGGCGAUAGCCUGGCGUAUCGCUUUACAGGAGAUACGCCAGAGCAGUGGUUAGCGAGUUUUCGUCAGCAUCGCUGGGACUUGGAAGAAGAAGCGGAAAACUUAAUUCAGGAACAAAGUGAAGAUGAUCAAGGCUGGGUCUGGUUACCCUGAUCCAGAUAUUCGUCCUUCCAUUUCACGUAAUUAUUCGCGGAAUAGCGUAACCCAGCCUUCUCUUCAUCACUUAACGGGCGGAUCUGUUUGACGGGACUACCGAGAUACAGAUAUCCGCUCUCCAGCCGUUUAUUUUGUGGGACCAGACUACCCGCACCAAUCAUCACAUCAUCUUCUACUAUUGCGCCAUCAAGUAAAAUUGAGCCCAUCCCAACCAAAACUCGAUUGCCAAUGGUGCAGCCGUGGAGCAUCACCUUGUGACCAACAGUGACAUCUUCGCCAAUGGUUAAUGGGUUGCCAUCUGGGUUGUACGAGGAUUUAUGAGUGACAUGCAACAUACUGCCAUCCUGGAUAUUGGUGCGUGCUCCGAUCUGUACAUAAUGUACAUCUCCACGAAUCACAACGAGCGGCCAGAUCCCCACAUCAUCAGCCAGACGAACGUCACCAAUCACGACACUGCUAUCGUCGAUCAUUACGCGCUGACCGAUUUGUGGAAAAAGAUCGCGGUAUGGGCGUAAAACAUCAGACAUACUUACCUCAGCAAUAAAUGAUUUACUAAUGACUUUGGGGGCAUUAUUGGCCUUGUGCAAGUCUUUUAGUAUGCAAAAAAGCACCGUUUUGUGUGCGAAUGCAGCAAAAAGGGUGAAAAAACAACAAACAGAAAAAAAGAUCAAAAAAGUACUUGUGCAAAAAAUUGGGAUCCCUAUAAUGCGCCUCCGUUGAGACGACAACGUGAAACACUUCACAAGAUGGUCGUAACAACGAAGAGAAAAAAUCCUGGAAUUCAGGGUUGACUCUGAAAGAGGAAAGCGUAAUAUACGCCACCUCGCGACAGUGAGCUGAAAGCCGCGUCGCAACUGCUCUUUAACAAUUUAUCAGACAAUCUGUGUGGGCACUCGAAGAUACGGAUUCUUAACGUCGCAAGACGAAAAAUGAAUACCAAGUCUCAA
rnacentral:rRNA from 1 species